rnacentral:rRNA from 1 species
GAAACCUGGCGGCGUGCUUACCAUGCAAGUCGAACGAACGACUGUAAUCGGAACCUUUCGGGGUAAAGAGAAUAGAAGCUAGUGGCGGACGGGUGCGUAACGCGUGGGUAAUCUGCCUUUGUCAAAGGAAUAACUAUUCGAAAGAAUAGCUAAAACCAUAUAAAGUAUUAUGAGGGCAUCCUGAUAAUAUCAAAACUGAGGUGGACAAAGAUGAGCCCGCGUCUGAUUAGCUAGUUGGUGAGAUAAAAGCCCACCAAGGCAACGAUCAGUAGCCGACCUGAGAGGGUGAACGGCCACAUUGGAACUGAGACACGGUCCAAACUCCUACGGGAGGCAGCAGUGGGGAAUAUUGCACAAUGGGGGGAACCCUGAUGCAGCAACGCCGCGUGAGUGAAGAAGGCAUUCGUGUCGUAAAACUCUGUAGUAGGGGAAGAAAGAAAUGACAGUACCCUAAAAGAAAGCCCCGGCUAACUACGUGCCAGCAGCCGCGGUAAU